rnacentral:rRNA from 1 species
UGGGGAAUUUUGGACAAUGGGCGAAAGCCUGAUCCAGCCAUGCCGCGUGCAGGAUGAAGGCCUUCGGGUUGUAAAGCUCUUUUAGUCGGAAAGAAAGAGUUGCAAUGAAUAAUUGUGAUUUAUGACGGUACCGACAGAAAAAGCACCGGCUAACUACGUGCCAGCAGCCGCGGUAAUACGUAGGGUGCGAGCGUUAAUCGGAAUUACUGGGCGUAAAGGGUGCGCAGGCGGUCUUGCAAGUCAGAUGUGAAAGCCCCGGGCUUAACCUGGGAAUUGCGUUUGAAACUACAAGACUAGAGUGCAGCAGAGGGGAGUGGAAUUCCAUGUGUAGCAGUGAAAUGCGUAGAGAUGUGGAAGAACACCGAUGGCGAAGGCAGCUCCCUGGGUUGACACUGACGCUCAUGCACGAAAGCGUGGGGAGCAAACA